GCCAAUACUAGCCCUAAGCACAACCAACACUAAUACCAAACCAACAUACACUAAACCAUUCACCUACACAAAGUAUAGGCGAUAGAAAUUUUAAUCUGGCGCUAUAGACAUAGUACCGUAAGGGAAAGAUAGAAAACCACCCAAGCACAAAACAGCAAAGACUAACCCCUGUACCUUUCGCAUAAUGAAUUAGCUAGAAACAAUUUUACGAAGAGGACUACAAGCCAAACCCCCCGAAACCAGACGAGCUACCCAAAAACAGCUAAAAGAGCGCACCCGCCUAUGUGGCAAAAUAGUGGGAAGAUUUCUGGGUAGAGGUGACAAGCCUACCGAGCCUGGUGAUAGCUGGUUAUCCAAGACAGAAUCUUAGUUCAACCUUAAGCUUACCUAUAGAACUACCUAAUCCCCCUGUAAGCUUAACUGCUAGUCUAAAGAGGGACAGCUCUUUAGACACUAGGAAAAAACCUUAUGGAGAGAGUAAAACCCUCAAUCACCAUAGUUGGCUUAAAAGCAGCCAUCAAUUAAGAAAGCGUUCAAGCUCAACACUAACCACCACAAAAAUACCAAACACAUAACUGAACUCCUCACACCACAUUGGAUUAAUCUAUCACCAUAUAGAAGCAAUAAUGCUAGUAUAAGUAACAUGAAUAUUUUCUCCGCUGCAUAAGCCUAAAUCGGACCGAAAGCCUCACCGAUAUUUAACAGCCAGGCAUAACAAGCACAAACAAGCCCAUGCCACCUUCACUGUUAACCCAACACAGGCAUGCCCCAAGGAAAGGUUAAAAAAAGUAAAAGGAACUCGGCAAACCCAAACCCCGCCUGUUUACCAAAAACAUCACCUCUAGCAUUACUAGUAUUAGAGGCACUGCCUGCCCAGUGACACACGUUUAACGGCCG
rnacentral:rRNA from 1 species